UACGACGGGGGCUAGCGAUGCUCGGAAUUACUGGGCGUAAAGGGCGCGUAGGCGGACCUGUCAGUCAGGCGUGAAAGCCCAGGGCUCAACCCUGGAACUGCGCUUGAUACUGCGGGUCUAGAGUGCCGGAGAGGAUGGUGGAAUUCCCAGUGUAGAGGUGAAAUUCGUAGAUAUUGGGAAGAACACCGGUGGCGAAGGCGGCCAUCUGGACGGCAACUGACGAUGAGGCGCGAAAGCGUGGGGAGCAAACAGG
rnacentral:rRNA from 1 species